rnacentral:rRNA from 1 species
UGGGGAAUAUUGCACAAUGGGCGAAAGCCUGAUGCAGCAACGCCGCGUGAGUGAUGAAGGCCUUCGGGUUGUAAAGCUCUGUCUUCUGGGACGAUAAUGACGGUACCAGAGGAGGAAGCCAUGGCUAACUACGUGCCAGCAGCCGCGGUAAUACGUAGGUGGCAAGCGUUGUCCGGAUUUACUGGGCGUAAAGGAUGCGUAGGCGGAUACUUAAGUCAGAUGUGAAAAUCCCGGGCUUAACUUGGGAACUGCAUUUGAAACUGGGUAUCUAGAGUGCGGGAAAGGAAAGUGGAAUUCCUAGUGUAGCGGUGAAAUGCGUAGAGAUUAGGAAGAACACCAGUGGAGAAGGCGACUUUCUGGACCGUAACUGACGCUGAGGCAUGAAAGCGUGGGGAGCAAACA